GAUAAGCUUUAUUUCUCUGGUACCAUAUUACCCAUAGAGUUAUUACAAGUCGUGUGCAUUGUUCUUCACUUAUGCUAGUAAAUAAAUGUGCUAACCAUAUUUUCCAUUGUUGGUUGUGGGGCCUGAUUGAGCCAUCAAUCCAUAUCCCAUGUAAGGUGUUAUUGACUGUUGCACAUUCCAAGAAGAUGUGACUUCAUUAUUAAUAUAGACAAAAAAAAAGAAAAAAAAUAUUUGAUACACUGUGAGUGGAAAAGGCCAGGGGACAAUUUUUUUAGACUGCUUUUACUUGGGAAAUAAAAAAAAGUUAUAAAAAAAAGUUACAUUGUCAAUGUACCAAAUACUAAUCCAUAAAAAAUAUGUAAUUAUAUAAUAAAAUUAUUUUUUUUACUUGUGGGUAGGGGUGAGCUUUCGAUUGAAUCG
rnacentral:lncRNA from 1 species